CCGGGCGGCGCUAUCUGCAUGUGAACGCUUCCGGGCUUCGGCCUGGUGGCAAGUGCCCAAGGGGUGAUUCAUACAUCUGAACGUGCCCCGCAGUGGGGGAUAACUAAUCCAAUGAGUACCUAUUACCGGAUACAAUCUGCGGGUUAGAGCUGGGGACCGCAAGGUCUCGCGCUUCAGGAGCGGCCGAUGUCCGAUUACCUAGUUGGUGGGGUAAGAGCCUACCAUGGCCACCAUCACUGGCUGGUCUGAAAGGACCAUCAGCCUCCCUGGGACUGAAACGCGGCCCAGAAUCCUACGGGAGGCAGCAGUGGGGAAUUUUGCACCAUGGGGGCCACCCGGAUUCAGGACUGCCACCUGUGUGAACAAAGCCUUCAGGGUGUAAAGCUCUUUUGUCCGCAAAGAAAAGGUCCGUGACAAUACCCCCGGUCAAUCACAGGGCCGGAACAAUAAGCACAGGCUCAGUACCUGCCACCAGCCUCGGCAAUACAUACGGUGCGA
rnacentral:rRNA from 1 species